AGAGUUUGAUCCUGGCUCAGAUUGAACGCUGAUGCUUUACACUGCAAGUCGAACGGUAACAGGCCUUCGGGCGCUGACGAGUGGCGAACGGGUGAGUAAUGUAUCGGAACGUACCUUUCAGUGGGGGAUAACGUAGCGAAAGUUACGCUAAUACCGCAUAUUCUGUGAGCAGGAAAGCAGGGGAUCGCAAGACCUUGCGCUGAUUGAGCGGCCGAUAUCAGAUUAGCUAGUUGGUGGGGUAAAGGCCUACCAAGGCUACGAUCUGUAGCGGGUCUGAGAGGAUGAUCCGCCACACUGGAACUGACACGGUCCAGACUCCUACGGGAGGCAGCAGUGGGGAAUUUUGGACAAUGGGGGCAACCCUGAUCCAGCCAUGCCGCGUGAGUGAAGAAGGCCUUCGGGUUGUAAAGCUCUUUCGGCCGGGAAGAAAUCGCAUAGGCUAAUACCCUGUGUGGAUGACGGUACCGGAAUAAGAAGCACCGGCUAACUACGUGCCAGCAGCCGCGGUAAUACGUAGGGUGCGAGCGUUAAUCGGAAUUACUGGGCGUAAAGCGUGCGCAGGCGGUUUAGUAAGACAGGCGUGAAAUUCCCGGGCUCAACCUGGGAACUGCGCUUGUGACUGCUAAGCUAGAGUACGGCAGAGGGGGGUGGAAUUCCACGUGUAGCAGUGAAAUGCGUAGAGAUGUGGAGGAACACCGAUGGCGAAGGCAGCCCCCUGGGCCAAUACUGACGCUCAUGCACGAAAGCGUGGGUAGCAACAGGAUUAGAUACCCUGAUAGUCCACGCCCUAAACGAUGUCAACUAGGUGUUGGGAGGGUAAAACCUUUUAGUACCGGAGCUAACGCGUGAAGUUGACCGCCUGGGGAGUACGGCCGCAAGGGUUAAAACUCAAAGGAAUUGACGGGGACCCGCACAAGCGGUGGAUGAUGUGAUUAAUUCGAUGCAACGCGAAAA
rnacentral:rRNA from 1 species